UACGUAGGGGGGCGAGCGUUGUCCGGAUUUAUUGGGCGUAAAGAGCUCGUAGGCGGUUCGAUAAGUCAGGUGUAAAAACUCCAGGCUCAACUUGGAGAGGCCACCUGAUACUGUCGUGACUAGAGUCCGGUAGAGGAGCACGGAAUUCCUGGUGUAGCGGUGAAAUGCGCAGAUAUCAGGAGGAACACCGGUGGCGAAGGCGCUGCUCCGGGCCGAAACUGACGCUGAGGAGCGAAAGCGUGGGUAGCAAACAGG
rnacentral:rRNA from 1 species